rnacentral:rRNA from 1 species
UGGGGAAUUUUGGACAAUGGGCGAAAGCCUGAUCCAGCAAUGCCGCGUGUGUGAAGAAGGCCUUCGGGUUGUAAAGCACUUUUGUCCGGAAAGAAAUCCUUGGCUCUAAUACAGUCGGGGGAUGACGGUACCGGAAGAAUAAGCACCGGCUAACUACGUGCCAGCAGCCGCGGUAAUACGUAGGGUGCAAGCGUUAAUCGGAAUUACUGGGCGUAAAGCGUGCGCAGGCGGUUUGCUAAGACCGAUGUGAAAUCCCCGGGCUCAACCUGGGAACUGCAUUGGUGACUGGCAGGCUAGAGUAUGGCAGAGGGGGGUAGAAUUCCACGUGUAGCAGUGAAAUGCGUAGAGAUGUGGAGGAAUACCGAUGGCGAAGGCGGCCCCCUGGGCCAAUACUGACGCUCAUGCACGAAAGCGUGGGGAGCAAACAGGAUUAGAUACCCUGGUAGUCCACGCCCUAAACGAUGUCAACUAGUUGUUGGGGAUUCAUUUCCUUAGUAACGUAGCUAACGCGUGAAGUUGACCGCCUGGGGAGUACGGUCGCAAGAUUAAAACUCAAAGGAAUUGACGGGGU